rnacentral:lncRNA from 9 species
GGCAGCAUAUUGAAGGUUUUUGGCUUUUUAUCCACUCAGCCACUCUCUGUCUUUUGGUCUUUUGAUUGGGGCAUUCAGCCCAUUGACAUUUAAGGUGAUAAUUGAUAGAUGAUCAUUUAUUGCCAUUUGAACCUCGUGUUCCAGUUGAUUCUAUGGUUCUCCAUUUUUUUUUUUUUUUUUGGUUGGAUGGUCUCCUGUUAUUAUCUGCUUGAGUGGUUUUUUUUUUCAUUUUUUGCAAAUGCAGUAUUUGGUUUUGGCUUGUGAUUGCCCUGUUUUUUAAGUAUGCUAACCCCUUCCCGUAAUUGUGUGUUUUAGCCUGAUGGUCCUGUAAGUUCAAACUCCUCAUUACUGUAUUAAAAUUAAGAAGAGAGACAUACAUAUAAACAAAAAGGGUUAUUUACCUCCUGACAUCCCUUGCCCACAUUUUAUGGUUUUGAUGACUCUCUUAUUUUUUUCUUUUUAAUUUUAUUUUGUUUGAAGCAUGUUCAUGAUUAAAUCUGUAUGCUGGCUUAUUUGAGUGACUGCUCUCUGAUUGCAGUUUCCUCAGUCCUAGUUCUUCCUCUUCUUCUUCUUUUUUUUUUUUUCUUUUUUCUUCCCUUUCCUUCCUUUCUUUUUGGUUUAGAGAAGCCCUUUCAAUAUUUCCUUUAACCUGGGUUUUGUGUUGCUGUAUUCUUUAAGUUUUUGUUUGUUGGGAAAAAUUUUUAUUUCCUCUUCUAUUUUAAAUGAUAUUCUUGCUGGAUAGAGUAUUCUAGGUUGCAUAUUUUUUCCUUUUAGCACUUUAAAUAUCUCUUGCCAUUCCCUCCUGGCCUGUAGUGUUUCUGUAGAGAAAUCAGCUGAUAUUCUUAUGGGGGUUCCCUUGUAGGUAGCAUUCUGUUUUUCUCUUGCUGCCUUGAGGAUCCUCUCUUUAUCACUAACUUUUGCCAUUUUUAUUAUGAUGUGUCUUGGUGUGGGUCUGUUUGGGUUCAGUUUGUUUGGGGCCCUCUGUGCUUCUUGUAUCUUGAAUCCAGUAUCCUUUAGAUUUGGGAAGUUUCCAGCAAUAAUUUUUUCAAAUAUAUUUUCCAUUCCCUUAUCUUUUUCUACUCCUUCUGGAAUUCCUAUUAUGCGUAGAUUGGCCCGCUUUAUAUUAUCCCAUAGGUCUCUUAUAUUGCUUUCCAGUUUUUUGAUUCGGUUUUCUGUCUGUUGACCAAAUUGAGUGAUUUCCAUUAUUCUAUCUUCCAUAUCACUGAUUCGUUCUUCUGCAUUAUUCAUUCUGGUUUUUACUGCCCCUAGUUCAGUUUGCAUCUCUGCAAAUGAAUGUUCUAGUUUUUCUUGGCUCCUCCUCAUAUUUUCUAGUUCCUUUCUGAGGGUAUCUGCAUUACUGUUCAUAUCUUCUCUUAAUUCCUUCAGUAUUUUCACUAUUUCUCUUUUGAACUCCAGGUCUGUCAGACUGCCGAGAUCUGUUUCAUUGUUGACUGUUUUAGGUGAGUUCUCCUGUUGGUUUGAGUGGGGGUGGUUUCUCAGCUUCUUCAUCUUGCUUGUUGUUUUCUUUCUCCUGAGGGAGUUGUACUCUCCGUUAUCGGGCAGUGUUUGCCUUGUCACUGCCGUGGAAUAUUUCCUGAGGGCUGGCGUUGUUGGUCAAUCUUUUUUGAGGCAGUGUGGCUUUUCUGGAGUGUUGAUGGGGCUAACAGUGUUUCUUUGAAGCAAAGGAGGACUUCCUGAGGGCAGACAGGACUGAGAGGUCCACACCGCGAUGGUAGAUUUCACUUGGCCAUGCAGAGCUUGCUCUGGUGUUUUUAGGCUGUGGGGUUCUUGCAGGGGGUUGGCGGUGUUGGGCAGCUGCUUUUUAGGGGUGCAUCACCCCCUGGGGGCUGGAGCAGCUAUCUGGGGCAAUGAGAACCUGAGAGGCUCUUCCCUAGGGCAGCCCAACUCAGGACGACAGCCUGAGAAUGUAGGUGGAUCUUUUCACAGUCUGGCUGAGCUUGUUGCAGCUUUUCUGGGCUGCAGGGGGUCCUGCCUGGAGCUGGCAGUCCUAUGCAGCUGGUCCACUAGAGCAUCCCCUGGGGGCUUGGGCGGGUAGCAGGGCCGUUGGAAACCGAAGAGGCUCCUCCCCGGGGCAACCCGACUCAGAAAAACCGUCGGAGAAUUAGGCCGAUCUAUUCACAGCCUGGCUAAGCUUGUUCUAGCUUUUCUAGGCUGCAGGCCUUUUCUCGGGGGCUGGUGCUGUUUGGUGCUGCUCUGCGGAAGUGUAGCCCCUCCAAAGGGCAAGCAGGCCUGUGCAGGGACAGCCCCUGCGGUGGUAGGCUUCAGGCAAUUGUUGAGGCCAGCCCUCCUGGAUGGCAGGCAGCCCCAGGUCCAUGAGAGCAUAGGGCGUGGCGGGGGUGGGGGGAGGGGAUGCACUGGGAAGCACAGUUUUCAGCUAGCUAGCGGGCCUGUAAGCUUGCUGUGGCGUGGGGGGUAUUCUAUGGGGACCCACCCCUUCUUCUCUCCCCUCCCCAGCACGGGCACAGACUAGGCUCUUCUCCCAGGUUCCCUCUGAUGUGGCUUUCCCCUUCCCCGCCCCUAGAGUAUUGUUCCCUUCCUCUGCGACAGCUUUGUUUUCUAGUCUCCCAGGCAGUCUCUGCCCCGUCAACUGGUUUAGAGACCUCCCAAGCAGUUUCUGCUCUGCCCCGCCCCCCUAGCCCGGGGACUAAUCUCUGGAGCCGAGGUCUCGGUGCCCAGCCCCCCCCCCCCCAGGCGCGUCCCCCGGCUCCCUCUCGGGGACUAACCUUCCGCGGCGAGGUCUCGGUGCCCAGCCCCCACCCAGGCGUCCCCCGGCUCCCUCUCGGGGACUAACCUUCCGCGGCGAGGUCUCGGUGCCCAGCCCCCACCCAGGCGGCGCCCCCCCGGCCCUUUCUCGGGGACUAACCUUCGGCGGCGAGGUCUCGGUGCCCAGCCCCCCUCCCAGGCGUCCCCCGGCCCUUUCUCAGGGAUUAACCUUCGGAGGCGAAGGACCACAUCUUCUUUAUCCCUCUGUCGAUGGACUUUCAGGUGGUUUCGAUGUCUUGACUACUGUGAAUAGUGCUGCUAUGAACGUAGGGGUGCUUGGAUCUUUUCCAAUUAGGGUUUCUUCCAGAUGUGUGCCCAGGUAUGGGAUUGCUGGAUCCCAUGGUAGUUCUACGUGUAGUUUUUUGAGGAACCUCCAUACUGGUUUACAUAGUGGUUGUACCAAUUUAUGUUCCCACCAACAGUGUAGGAGGGUUCCCUUUUCUCCACACCCUCUCCAGUAUUUUUUUUUUUUAUUUUUAGGGCCACACCUGCAGCAUAUAGAAGUUCCCAGGCCAGGGGUCAAAUUGGAGCUACAAACCACAGCCACAGCAACACCAGAUCCGAACUGCAUCUGCAACUGACACCACAGCUCACAGCAGUGCUGGAUCCUUAACUCACUGAGUGGGGCCAGGGACGGAACCUGUAUCCUCAUGGAUCAUAGUUGGGUUCAUUUCCACUGAGCCACAACAGGAACUCCUCCCCAGCAUUUAUUAUGUGUAGAAGGUCCACUGCAUUUUUAACCAGUUCCUCUACCGCUUCAACUGCUGGCCCCACAGAGGUGCGCUCAGGGAAAACACUGCUGAAUUUGCAGAGACGAUUUGCAGUUUUGUCAUUACUUGUCUGGGUUAACAGGAGCCUCUCAGCCUUGGUCCCAUUUAUGGAAGAACAAAUCCAAGAGCCGUUUUCUUUGCACCUUCCUGAUGUUCAAGCACAAUGUUGCAGUGACUUUAUUUGUGUGUCAUGACACAUCGGCUGUGGUUUCAGGAGUUGGUCUGAAACAGCACGUGAAUCAUGAACCAGUUUCCGCUGGUUUGGCCCCUUCAGUGGGUUGUUGAUUGCUUACCUUGAAACGGCACCCGCUUCAACUGGUUUUGCCACCUUGAGGAGGUUGCUGACUCAUCAAAUCUUGAGUUAUUUUACAGGGACAACCUGGUACCUGUUCAAGACAGAAGCCCACAUCUCCAGGACGACCCCAGAACCAUGAAUCUUCUGUCUGCGGAACCUAAAGAACAGAAAAGUUGCCAGUGCCGCCCUUGAUGAGGCAGGAACUCUUUCAAUGGGAAGCAUCUGGCUUCAGCCACAGGGGUAGCAUCUAUGGCCUGACUCAAGACUAGCCAGUCAGCUUCCCCAACUCCUUGAACUCCACCCAGCCUCUGGAUGGAGGAGACAGGUUGGAGAGCCUUGCUUCUGGGCUCCUUGCUGGUUGACCGCACGGCAACGCUCUUCCUCUUACUAAAGUUGGUGCCGUGGGUUGGCUUCUGUGCGUGUCCGACGGGGAGCCUCUUCUCGGUGACAAAUCUGACCGUUUCUCAUGUGCCCAGUCGCCUGAGCAUCGGGCGUCUCAGCCAGUACGCACUCUACACGCCCCACUGGCCGCUCAGGAGGUCUGAGAUGUGUGUCCCGAGGGAUGACGGAACGCUGGUGCUAUUUUUCAUCAGGCUGUUGUGCAGGAUCCUUCCUCGUCCACUGGAUGCAAAGCACCUGCCUGGAUUGGGUGUAAAGGAUCCUGAGAGCGACAGCUUGUGACAUCCUCCUGAGUGAUGCUGAGGUGAUGCAGUCCCGUCAUCUUCAGCCUGCAAAGCCAUCUUGCCCAAGAAGCCUCAUUCCCGGGGCAUCCGGCCAUACGAGAAAGGCUGCCGGGGCUAAAGACGUUACAGACGAAGCACCUACCUUCCUGAAGCCUGUGACUCCCGACGGCGUCCCUGGAGGACGUCCCGGCGUGAAGGCUGGACGCUGUCCUGUACGGUGAAUCAGAUGACUCCUCUGCUCGACCCAGUCCAUCUCCAAGGGGGAGCAUGAACAUCAGACAUCAUCACCACAGAUCUCCAAUACCGUUUGAGGGCUCCAUCCACACGGCCUUUCCUGCUUCUCGAGGCUCCGUCCUGAGACCUGCCUGGGCACAUCCACACUUGCGGAGCCAGAGGCAGCCUCAGGGUCUGAACGCUGGCACCUGUCUGUGGAGCAGUCGGGAUUCCUCGGGGAAAAGAGAAACAGGUUCCGAUUAUUUUAGGUACCGAUGUCCCUGCAGCCUGGGGUCCAGGUAACGGUCUCGGUAACUACCCGCUUCCCCAUCUGCUGCUGAGACAUCUGUCCCCCCCGAGAACCCCAGCCCAGGGCUAAGGAGACCUUACAUCCUCGGGGACAGCCCCCUGCUGACCCUUCACUCUGGGUCCAGAAACAGUCCUGACGAAUCCGCCCGUCACGUAGCCCCGGGGUGUUGGCGAUUCUGUUCCAGUCUCUUCCUGUUCUAGAAUUUAUGAAUCCACCAUCGCUCAGUUAGCUGGACCCCCAGAGCCAGAAUAACCACACUGGUUGUUUUUUUUUUGUUCCCCCUCUGGGGUCAUCCCCCGCCUGUGUUCUGGGAUCAAAGCUUUUUUUUCUUUUUAGGGCCGUGACUGCAGCAUGUGGAAGUUCCCAGACUAUAGGGGUUGAAUCGGAGCUGCAGCUGCCAGUCUACACCGCAGCCAUGUGGGAUCCAAGCCACUUCUGUGACCUACACCACAGCUCACAGCAGAGGCAGAUCCUUAACCCAGGGAGUCCCCAUACCUCUCAUGAGAAGAUCUCCUGAGCAGUUCCCUGAGGCCGACGGAAAGGGGAACUGCCUGGGCGGACACCGGUCUCGCUGGGAAACUGAUGGUUGGUUCCGACGUGGCAGCGGCUUUGAGAGUUUUUAGAGAUUCCCCGAGAGAAAUCACUCUCUGCCAUCAAAUGACCACAGCAGAAUGACCGCAGUGCUCACAGCGCUAAGACUUCCCGCGAAGCCGUCUGCUCUGCUCCUGGGACGUCAGGUCAUAGGAGCUGGAAGGACCUCGCCGUCUCGGUGACAGUGACUACAAUUGGGAUUAACUUUCGGAGCAGAUGCUCGAUGGCUGUCUGCUUCCCACCUCUGUCACUGACGACUUACUUUCCAGGCAACCUCCCACCCUGGGUGCACGUGCCCACUGCCCGGCACAGAUGCACACAUGCAGACACAGACUUGUACAGAGAUGACACAUACACACCUGUACACACACACUCACAUAGACACACUUGUAGACACAUGCAUACACAAAACAUACAACAUGGGCAGACGUGCACAGACAUGCAGAAAUAGAUACACACACAUGCACAAAGACUCAGAUACAUAACACACAAGACCACACCCUCACACGGACACCCCUGUGCACAGAGUUCUCUAGAAUCCAAAAACCACUCUCCUGCCUUCUCUUUAACCAAGUUCAAAAACUACAGAUUUAUGGCCUUUCAUUUUUCUGAAUUGAAAAUACAACCAACAGUUCCCAGGUU